rnacentral:rRNA from 1 species
GACGAACGCUGGCGGUGUGCUUAACACAUGCAAGUCGAACGGUAAGGCCCUUUCGGGGGUACACGAGUGGCGAACGGGUGAGUAACACGUGAGUAACCUGCCCUCAUCUCUUGGAUAACAGUCGUAAACGGUUGCUAAUACUGGAUAUGAGCUUGCAAGGCAUCUUGUGGGUUGGAAAGAUUUUUUUUGGUUGGGGAUGGACUCGCGGCCUAUCAGCUUUUUGGUGAGGUAGUGGCUCACCAAGGCUUCGACGGGUAGCCGGCCUGAGAGGGCGACCGGCCACAUUGGGACUGAGAUACGGCCCAAACUCCUACGGGAGGCAGCAGUGGGGAAUAUUGCACAAUGGACGGAAGUCUGAUGCAGCAACGCCGCGUGCGGGAUGACGGCCUUCGGGGUGUAAACCGCUUUCAAUUGUGACGAAGCUUUUUUGUGACGGUAGCAGUAGAAGAAGCACCGGCUAACUACGUG